rnacentral:rRNA from 1 species
UACGUAGGGGGCAAGCGUUAUCCGGAUUCAUUGGGCGUAAAGCGCGCGCAGGCGGACCGUUAAGCGGGACCUCUAAUCUCAGGGCUCAACCUUGAGCCGGGUCCCGAACUGGCGUGUCUCGGGUUCGGUAGGGGAGGUCGGAAUUCCCGGUGUAGCGGUGGAAUGCGCAGAUAUCGGGAAGAACACCGAUGGCGAAGGCAGACCUCUGGGCCGCAACCGACGCUGAGGCGCGAAAGCGUGGGGAGCAAAUA